CCUACGGGAGGCAGCAGUGGGGAAUAUUGCACAAUGGGGGCAACCCUGAUGCAGCGACGCCGCGUGAAGGAAGAAGUCUUUCGGGAUGUAAACUUCUAUCAGCAGGGAAGAAAAUGACGGUACCUGACUACUCACCCCCGGCUAACUACGUGCCAGCAUCCGCUGAAAUACGUAGGGGGCACGCGUUAUCCGGAUUUACUGGGUGUAAAGGGGGCGUAGGCGGGUUGGCAAGUCAGAAGUGAAAGCCCGGGGCUCAACCCCGGGACUGCUUUUGAAACUGUUGAACUAGAGUGCAGGAGAGGUAAGUGGAAUUCCUAGUGUAGCGGUGAAAUGCGUAGAUAUUAGGAGGAACACCAGUGGCGAAGGCGGCUUACUGGAUUGUAAAUGACGCUGAGGCUCGAAAGCGUGGGGAGCAAACAGGAUUAGAUACCCUGGUAGUC
rnacentral:rRNA from 1 species